GCGCUUCACUCUACUGCCUGCGGACCGGCCCAAGUCGUAUCCUGAAAUCUUACUGGGCUGUCCCUUCCUACUUCAGUAACUCCUGCGAAAGAGGGAAACAAAGUUUUAUUUUUACUUGAAGGUUCCAUUUUUAAAAGGUUGUUUUUGUAAGCUGCUAGGAUCUGAGCUGCGCGUACCCCCGCGGUAGCUCGCCCGCGUGGGCUGGGGACGGGGCGGGAAAUGGCCUGCGUGGGCCUCCUCCGCUGCUCUCAUCCUGCACGGACCCGCCCUGCAUGGGCACGCCCUGCGUGCACGGGCCUGCCCGCGUGGACGUGCCCUGCGUGCACCCUUCCUUCAGGGACCCGCCCUUGAACGGCCCUCCGGACGUGGACACUCGUAUACGCCCACCCUGCGUGGGAUCUCCCUGCGUGGACCCAUCCCGCUGAGCCUCUUCUCGCGCAGCCUCCCUCUGGCCCCCUGGGAAGCUACCCUGGUUGUCCGCUGUCUCCUGGCUGGGGGGAGCUCUCAUUGAUUCUGUGAUGAUGCAUGACAGAAGAGCAUUUGUUAGCUUUGCUUUGCUUUUCUUUCUUUUUUGAGACAGCCUCGCUCUGUUGCCAGGCAGGCUUGAGUGCAGUGGCGCGAUCUCGGCUCACUGCAACCUCCGCGUCCCGGGUUCAAGCGAUUCUCCUGCCUCAGCCCCCCGAGUAGCCGGUAUUGCAGGCGCCUGCCACGACGCCCGGCUAAUUUUUGUAUUUUUAGUACAGACGGGGUUUCACCAUGUUGGCCAGGCUGGCCUCGAACUCCUGACCUCGUAAUCCACCCGCCUCUGCCUCCCAAAGUGCUGGGAUUACAGGCGUGAGCCACUACACCCGGCCGUUAGCUUUUCUUUAAAAAAUAAAUUUAAAGGAAAGAAAUAAGCCUUUGGGAAGAGCAAUCUUGUGUUUUUGUUUUUUAAUUAUUUUGAAAACAAGCAAGCAUGGUUAAAAUAAGAUUGUGCAAGUUUUGCAUUUUAAAAAAUUAAUCUGGGCCGGGCGCCGUGGCUCACGUCUCUAAUCCCAGCACUUUGCGAGGCCGAGGCGAGCGGAUCACAAGGUCAAGAUAUGAGACCAUCCUGGCUCAUGGUGAAACCCCGUCUCUACUAAAAAUACACAAAUUAGCCGGGCGUGGUGGCGCAUGCCUGUAAUCCCAGCUACUCAGGAGGCUGAGGCAGGAGAAUCACUUGAACCAGGGAGUCGGAGGUUGCGGUGAGCCAAGAUCGUGCCACUGCACUCUAGCCUGGCGACAGAGCGAGACUCUGUCUUAAAAAACAAAAACAAAAAAAAAUUUUUAUAAAUCUGUAUUCCAAGCAAGCGCAGGAUCUAAUGAGGUAUUUUUGUCUUUGUGAAGAUUUUUUAAAUCGACUUGGAAAUGCACUAGAUGCCCGUGGGAAACAUGAAUAGUAAACCGAGGUUAUUUCUGUGUAGUAAAGAUUAGAGGCUUCCAGCCGAGCCUUGCUGAUAUUGUUGAGUCAACUAGGAACUUGCUGGAGAGAAAAGUAAAAAAUAUAAAAAAUGAGCAAACUUCAUAAUGAACUAAUCUUGUGAAUGAGAAAAUAUCAAAAAUUAUAAUUAAAGGCAAAUAGCCAAAUUAGGAACAUUGUAACCACAAAUAUACAAAGAGUUUAUAAAAUUAGGUAAGGAAAAGCAUGAUGGAAAAUACACCUUGUCAUGGGAUUUUUCAAAUCACAAAAAAAAAAGCACACAAAUGAUUGAACACACAUGAGAAAAAAAUGUACACUCUGCCCAGUUAAGAAAGAGGAAAAUAAAACGAGACUCUCUUUCUUUCCACUAUUAAGUAAGCAGACCAAACAAAAAAAAGGAAACUUGGCCGGGAGCCGUGGCUCAGGCCUGUAAACACAGCACUUUGGGAGGCCGAGGCGGGUGAAUCAUCUGAGGUCAGGAGUUCAAGACCAGCCUGGCCAACAUAGUGAAACCCUAUCUCUACUAAAAAUACAAAAAUUAGGCUGGAUGUGGUGGCACACGCCUGUAAUCCCAGCACUUUGGGAGGCUGAGGCAGGUGGAUCACAAGAUCAAGAGAUCGAGACCAUCCUGGCCAACAUGGUGAAACCCCGUCUCUACUAAAAAUACAAAAAUUAGUUGGGCAUGGUGGUGCACGCCUGUGGUCCCAGCUACUUGAGAGGCUGAGGCAGGAGAAUAGCUGGAACCGGGAGACGAAGGUUGCAGUGAGCCGAGAUCAUGCCACUACACUCCAACCUGGCGACAGAGCAAGACUCCCUCAGUUUCAAAAAAAAAAAAAAAAUACAAAAAUUAGCCAGGCAUGGUGGCACGUGCCUGUAAUCCCAGCUAUUUGGGUGGCUGAGGCAGGAGAAUCGCUUGAACCUGGGCGGUGGAGGUUGCAGUGAGCCGAGAUCACACCACUGCACUCCAGCCUGGGCAACAGAGUGAAACUCCAUUUCAAAAAAACAAAAAACAGAAAACAAACAAACAAAAAAAACACUUGAUUCUGUGAAUACUGCUUCUUGUAAUCCACGUAGCAGUAUCGAUUAAGGAUUUUCUGAUUGGAAUUCCUUUUCUUAGAAAACAAACUAUAAAAAUAACAGGAAAUGAAAAUAAUAAAAAUUGGGUUGUAAAAAAUUGGGCUGUUUUGUUUUGUUUAGAAAUGUGGCUGGGAGAGGUGGCUCAUGCCUGUUAAUCCCAGCACUUUGGGAGGCUGAGGUGAGUGGAUAGCUUGAGCCCAGUAGUUCAACACCAGCCUGGGGAACAUGGCAAGAACCUGUCUGUACAGAAAAUUUUUAAAAUUUAGCUGGGCGUGGUGGCACGCACCUGUGGACCCAACUACUUGGGAGGCUGAGGUGGGAGGAUCACCCGAGCACAGGAGAUUGAGCCUGUAGUGAGCCGUGAUCAUGCCACUGCACUCCAGCCUGGGAAAUGAGAGAAUUUUUUAAGACCUUGUCU
rnacentral:lncRNA from 10 species